GGCCGGUUGGCCCAAUGGCAAGGCGUCUGCCUACGAUCCCGCAACGUCCCCCCUCCAAGUCUCCCCUCGGACAUUCGAGCGGGAUGCGGUGUAACCGCAGGCCAUCAGGAGAUUCUGGGUUCGACCCCCCAGGCUGGUCA